UACGUAGGGUGCAGGCGUUAAUCGGAAUUAUUGGGCGUAAAGAGCUCGUAGGCGGUUUGUCGCGUCUGCUGUGAAAACUCGGGGCUUAACCCCGGGCCUGCAGUGGGUACGGGCAGACUAGAGUGCGGUAGGGGAGACUGGAAUUCCUGGUGUAGCGGUGAAAUGCGCAGAUAUCAGGAGGAACACCGGUGGCGAAGGCGGGUCUCUGGGCCGUAACUGACGCUGAGGAGCGAAAGCGUGGGGAGCGAACAGG
rnacentral:rRNA from 1 species